CGCAGGAAGGGAGCAGGGAAGGAUGCAAGCUCUGGAAAAAGGACCUUUGCUUGGAAUGUCCCAGCGCCCUAAGAACAGCAGCAGCACCGGAUGUAGUCUCUGCUUCCGGUUGUCAUCAGCCAAUGAGAGAAGGUUAAAGAGAACACUAGCGUUUUCCCACAGGAGAAUGCGAGGAAAUCAGAUGUGAGAGACUAGAAGUAACAGAUAAAGUCCAUCACGCAUCAAAUAUCUGCAGAAACUACUGUAGGUUGACAAGAUCAAGACAAAACAGAUCGAAUUCCCAGGGUGUGUUUCAGCUGUUGGGAAGCAACAUGGAGGGUCAGAUGAUCAUGAAGGCAGGAGCUGUGUUUUAUUUUCCAUGAAUUCUCUGUGCCGCCCAGUCAAUGUUUGCUGCAUUAAAUCCAGGCACACUUGGUAUAGAAAAUGCAACCUUGUGCCUAUGUUAGUUCUCAUAUUGAAUAUGUCUGGGCCUCUGCCAAUCUUUUCUGUUCUUUGCACUUCACAAAUUGGUGACAGGGCAGCAGAUAC
rnacentral:lncRNA from 1 species